rnacentral:rRNA from 1 species
GUUCAGUGGCGAACGGGUGAGUAUAAGAUAGGAACGUACCUCAAAGUGGAACAUAGCCAUCCGAAAGGAUGGGUAAUUUUCCAUGUGGUCGCAAGACCAAAGACGCAAGUCGCUUUGAGAGCGGCCUAUCCACUACCAGCUAGUUGGUGAGGUAACGGCCCACCAAGGCUAUGACGGUUAACGGCUCUUAGCGGAGAGUCCGUCACAAUGGGACUGAGACACGGCCCAUACUUCUACGGAAGGCAGCAGUUAGGAAUUUUGCGCAAUGGACGAAAGUCUGACGCAGCGACAUCGCGUGAAGGAUGAAGGCCCUCGGGUUGUAAACGUCUUUUUUUCCCAAAUGAAUUGGGAAAGAAUCAGUGACUACUAACUACGUGCCAGCAGUCGCGGUAAUACGUAGGUCACAAGCGUUACCCGGUUUUAUUGGGCGUAAAGAGUCUGUAGGUGGUUUUUUAAGUCUUGUUUCAAAGACCUCGGCUUAACCGAGGACAGGGGCAGGAUACUGGAAGACUGGAGUGAUAUCGGGGUUACUGGAAUUUGUAGUGUAGGGGUUAAAUCCGUGGAUACUACAAAGAACACCAAGCGCGAAGGCGGGUAACUAGGUAUAUACUGACAUUCAGAGACGAAAGCUAGGGUAGCCAAUCAGAUUAGAGACCUGAGUAGUCCUAGCUGUAAAUUUUGUCCGUUAAUUCUUCCUCGAUUUAUCGGGGGGGGAUGUAAGCUAACGCAUUAAACGGACCGCCUGGGGAGUAUAGCCGCAAGGCCGAAACUCAAACGAAUUGGCGGGGAGGCGCACAACCAGUGGAGCAUGUUGUUCAAUUCGAUACGAAGCGAUAAACCUUACCUGGGUUUGAAAUGCACCUGCAAGCCCCCUGAAAGGGGGGAAUCCUUCGAGGGUGGUGCACAGCUGUUGCAUGGCUGUCGUCAGCUCGUGACGUGAGUUGUUCUCUUAAGUGAGGUAACGAGCGCAACCCCCAUCCGGUGUUACUGUGUCACCGGAGACUGCCCAGCAUUAUUUUGUUGGGAGGAAGGAGGGGACGACGUCAAGUCAUCAUGAUGCUUAUGUCCAGGGCUACAAACAUCCUACAAUGGGGUGUACAGAGGGUCGCAAUACCGCAAGGUGGAGCUAAUCCUUAAAACAUCCCUCAGUUGGGAUUGCAGGCUGAAAUUCGCCUGCAUGAACCCGGAAUUGGUAGUAAUUGCAAAUCAGCAGAUUGCGGUGAAUACGUUCUCGCCUCUUGCACACACUGCCCGUCAAAUCAGCAAAGUUGGGGGUACCUGAAGCUUCUCUUCGGAGGAACCAAGGUGAAUCCAGCGAUGAGGGUUAAGUCGUAACAAGGUA